GCUCUAGUAGCUUACUUUAAAGCAUUGUUCUUGUAAACCAAAGCCGGAUUUUCCCUAGAGCA
rnacentral:tRNA from 1 species